UGAUGACGAGACGCUAAGGCGUUGAAGCAGUGUAUGUCAGACUUCCAAGAAAAGCUCGCAAUGUCACAAAUGAAAAAUGCCUGUACCAUAACCGACACAGGUGGGUAGGUAGAGUAUACUAAGGGGCGCGAGAUAACUCUCUCUAAGGAACUCGGCAAAAUGACUCCGUAACUUCGGGAGAAGGAGUGCCUUAUUUAUAAGGUUGCAAUAACAAGAUCCAAGCAACUGUUUAUCAAAAACACAGGUCUCCGCUAAGUCGUAAGAUGAUGUAUGGGGGCUGACGCCUGCCCAGUGCCAGAAGGUUAAAGAAGUUGGUUAGUGUAUGCGAAGCUGAUGACUGAAGCCCUGGUGAACGGCGGCCGUAACAAUAACGGUCCUAAGGUAGCGAAAUUCCUUGUCGGGUAAGUUCCGACCCGCACGAAAGGCGUAAUGAUUUGGAUACUGUCUCGGAGAGAGGCUCGGUGAAAUAGACUUGUCUGUGAAGAUGCGGACUACCUGCACCAGGACAGAAGGACCCUAUGAAGCUUUACUGUAACUUGAAAUUGGAAUUGGACUUUGCUUGCGCAGUAUAGGUGGGAAGCGUUGAAAAUAUUCUUGCGGGAGUAUUGGAGCUAUCAGUGAGAUACCACUCUUGUAAUGUUAGAUUUCUAACUUUGAACCAUAAUCUGGUCAAAGAACAGUUUCAGGUGGGCAGUUUGACUGGGGCGGUCGCCUCCCAAAUGGUAACGGAGGCGUACAAAGGUUUCCUCUGAACGGAUAGAAAUCGUAUCUAGAGUGUAAAGGCAUAAGGAAGCUUGACUGUGAGACCUACAAGUCGAGCAGGGACGAAAGUCGGUCUUAGUGAUCUGACGGUACUGAGUGGAAAGGCCGUCACUCAACGGAUAAAAGUUACUCUAGGAUAACAGGCUGAUCUCCCCCAAGAGUUCACAUCGACGGGGAGGUUUGGCACCUCGAUGUCGGCUCAUCGCAUCCUGGGGCGGUAGUACGUCCCAAGGGUUGGGCUGUUCGCCCAUGAAAGCGGUACGCGAGCUGGGUUCAGAACGUCGUGAGACAGUUCGGUCCAUAUCCGGUGUAGGCGCUAGAAUAUUGAGAGGAGCCUUCUUUAGUACGAGAGGACCGAGAAGGACACACCGCUGGUGUACCAGUUAUCGUGCCAACGGUAAACGCUGGGUAGCUAUGUGUGGAGUGGAUAACCGCUGAAAGCAUCUAAGUGGGAAGCCCGCCUCGAGAUGAGUAUUC
rnacentral:rRNA from 1 species